GGGUGUCAGUGGCAGACGGGUGAGUAACACCUGGGAACGUGCCCUUCGGUUCGGAAUAACUCAGGGAAACUUGAGCUAAUACCGGAUACGCCCUUUUGGGGAAAGGUUUACUGCCGAAGGAUCGGCCCGCGUCUGAUUAGCUUGUUGGUGGGGUAACGGCCUACCAAGGCGACGAUCAGUAGCUGGUCUGAGAGGAUGAUCAGCCACACUGGGACUGAGACACGGCCCAGACUCCUACGGGAGGCAGCAGUGGGGAAUAUUGGACAAUGGGCGCAAGCCUGAUCCAGCCAUGCCGCGUGAGUGAUGAAGGCCUUAGGGUUGUAAAGCUCUUUUGUCCGGGACGAUAAUGACGGUACCGGAAGAAUAAGCCCCGGCUAACUUCGUGCCAGCAGCCGCGGUAAUACGAAGGGGGCUAGCGUUGCUCGGAAUCACUGGGCGUAAAGGGCGCGUAGGCGGCCGAUUAAGUCGGGGGUGAAAGCCUGUGGCUCACCACAGAAUUGCCUUCGAUACUGGUUGGCUUGAGACCGGAAGAAGACAGCGGAACUGCGAGUGUAGAGGUGAAAUUCUUAGAUAAUUCGCAAGAACACCAGUGGGCGA
rnacentral:rRNA from 1 species